rnacentral:rRNA from 1 species
GACGAACGCUGGCGGCGUGCUUAACACAUGCAAGUCGAACGGAAAGGCCCUGCUUUUGUGGGGUGCUCGAGUGGCGAACGGGUGAGUAACACGUGAGUAACCUGCCCUUGACUUUGGGAUAACUUCAGGAAACUGGGGCUAAUACCGGAUAGGAGCUCCUGCUGCAUGGUGGGGGUUGGAAAGUUUCGGCGGUUGGGGAUGGACUCGCGGCUUAUCAGCUUGUUGGUGGGGUAGUGGCUUACCAAGGCUUUGACGGGUAGCCGGCCUGAGAGGGUGACCGGCCACAUUGGGACUGAGAUACGGCCCAGACUCCUACGGGAGGCAGCAGUGGGGAAUAUUGCACAAUGGGCGGAAGCCUGAUGCAGCAACGCCGCGUGCGGGAUGACGGCCUUCGGGUUGUAAACCGCUUUCGCCUGUGACGAAGCGUGAGUGACGGUAAUGGGUAAAGAAGCUCCGGCUAACUAUGUG